rnacentral:rRNA from 1 species
GCCUAAAGCGUCCGUAGCCGGCUUUGUAAGUUUUCGGUUAAAUCUAUAUGCUCAACAUAUAGGCUGCCGGGAAUACUGCAAAGCUAGGGAGUGGGAGAGGUAGACGGUACUCCGUAGGAAGGGGUAAAAUCCUUUGAUCUAUGGAUGACCACCUGUGGCGAAGGCGGUCUACCAGAACACGUUCGACGGUGAGGGAUGAAAGCUGGGGGAGCAAACCGGAUUAGAUACCCGGGUAGUCCCAGCUGUAAACUAUGCAAACUCAGUGAUGCAUUGGCUUGUGGCCAGUGCAGUGCCGCAGAGAAGUCGUUAAGUUUGCCGCCUGGGAAGUACGUACGCAAGUAUGAAACUUAAAGGAAUUGGCGGGGGAGCACCACAAGGGGUGAAGCCUGCGGUUCAAUUGGAGUCAACGCCAGAAAUCUUACCCGGGGAGACAGCAGAAUGAAGGUCAAGCUGAAGACUUUACCAGACAAGCUGAGAAGUGGUGCAUGGCCGUCGCCAGCUCGUGCCGUGAGGUGUCCUGUUAAGUCAGGUAACGAGCGAGAUCCCUGCCUCUAGUUGCCGCCAUUACUCUCAGGAGUAGUGGGGCGAAUUAGCGGGACUGCCGCAGUUAAUGCGGAGGAAGGAGGGGGCCACGGCAGGUCAGUAUGCCCCGAA